GACGCUUAGUAAAAUAUGGUCCAGUUGGCACUUGGCACCCUUUGGGACGGAACCCUAAAAAUUUAAAAAUGCAAGU